AGUGAACGCUGGCGGUAGGCCUAACACAUGCAAGUCGAACGGCAGCACAGUAAGAGCUUGCUCUUACGGGUGGCGAGUGGCGUACGGGAGAGGAAUACAUCGGAAUCUACUUUUUCGUGGGGGAUAACGUAGGGAAACUUACGCUAAUACCGCAUACGACCUACGGGUGAAAGCAGGGGAUCUUCGGACCUUGCGCGAUUGAAUGAGCCGAUGUCGGAUUAGCUAGUUGGCGGGGUAAAGGCCCACCAAGGCGACGAUCCGUAGCUGGUCUGAGAGGAUGAUCAGCCACACUGGAACUGAGACACGGUCCAGACUCCUACGGGAGGCAGCAGUGGGGAAUAUUGGACAAUGGGCGCAAGCCUGAUCCAGCCAUACCGCGUGGGUGAAGAAGGCCUUCGGGUUGUAAAGCCCUUUUGUUGGGAAAGAAAAGCAGCAGGUUAAUACCCCGCUGUUAUGACGGUACCCAAAGAAUAAGCACCGGCUAACUUCGUG
rnacentral:rRNA from 1 species